GACGAACCGUGCGAACGUUGUUCGGAAUCACUGGGCUUAAAGGGCGCGUAGGCGGGCGUGCAAGUCAGGGGUGAAAUCCUCCGGCUCAACCGGAGAACAGCUUUUGAUACUGCACGCCUCGAGGGGGGUAGGGGCGUGUGGAACUUCCGGUGGAGCGGUGAAAUGCGUAGAUAUCGGAAGGAACGCCGGUGGCGAAAGCGACGCGCUGGACCCCUUCUGACGCUGAGGCGCGAAAGCCAGGGGAGCAAACGGG
rnacentral:rRNA from 1 species